AGAGUUUGAUCCUGGCUCAGAUUGAACGCUGGCGGAACGCUUUACACAUGCAAGUCGAACGGUAACGCGGGGAGAAGCUUGCUUCUCUCCGGCGACGAGUGGCGAACGGGUGAGUAAUACAUCGGAACGUGUCCGCUCGUGGGGGACAACCAGCCGAAAGGUUGGCUAAUACCGCAUGAGUUCUACGGAAGAAAGAGGGGGACCCGCAAGGGCCUCUCGCGAGCGGAGCGGCCGAUGACUGAUUAGCCUGUUGGUGAGGUAACGGCUCACCAAAGCAACGAUCAGUAGCUGGUCUGAGAGGACGACCAGCCACACUGGGACUGAGACACGGCCCAGACUCCUACGGGAGGCAGCAGUGGGGAAUUUUGGACAAUGGGCGCAAGCCUGAUCCAGCUAUUCCGCGUGUGGGAUGAAGGCCCUCGGGUUGUAAACCACUUUUGUAGAGAACGAAAAGACACCUUCGAAUAAAGGGUGUUGCUGACGGUACUCUAAGAAUAAGCACCGGCUAACUACGUGCCAGCAGCCGCGGUAAUACGUAGGGUGCGAGCGUUAAUCGGAAUUACUGGGCGUAAAGGGUGCGCAGGCGGUUGAGUAAGACAGAUGUGAAAUCCCCGAGCUUAACUCGGGAAUGGCAUAUGUGACUGCUCGACUAGAGUGUGUCAGAGGGAGGUGGAAUUCCACGUGUAGCAGUGAAAUGCGUAGAUAUGUGGAAGAACACCGAUGGCGAAGGCAGCCUCCUGGGACAUAACUGACGCUCAGGCACGAAAGCGUGGGGAGCAAACAGGAUUAGAUACCCUGGUAGUCCACGCCCUAAACGAUGUCUACUAGUUGUUGGACCGAAUGGUUUAGUAACACAGCUAACGCGAGAAGUAGACCGCCUGGGGAGUACGGUCGCAAGAUUAAAACUCAAAGGAAUUGACGGGGACCC
rnacentral:rRNA from 1 species